rnacentral:rRNA from 1 species
GACGAACGCUGGCGGCGUGCUUAACACAUGCAAGUCGAACGGAAAGGCCCUGCUUUUGUGGGGUGCUCGAGUGGCGAACGGGUGAGUAACACGUGAGUAACCUGCCCUUGACUUUGGGAUAACUUCAGGAAACUGGGGCUAAUACCGGAUAGGAGCUCCUGCUGCUUGGGGGGGGUUGGACAGUUUCGGCGGUUGGGGAUGGACUCGCGGCUUAUCAGCUUGUUGGGGGGGUAGUGGAUUACCAAGGCUUUGACGGGUAGCCGGCCUGAGAGGGUGACCGGCCACAUUGGGACUGAGAUACGGCCCAGACUCCUACGGGAGGCAGCAGUGGGGAAUAUUGCACAAGGGGCGGAAGCCUGAUGCAGCAACGCCGCUUGCGGGAUGACGGUCUUUGGGUUGUAAACCGCUUUCGCCUGGUACGAAGCGUGAGUGACGGUAAUGGGUAAAGAAGCACCGGCUAACUACGUG